rnacentral:rRNA from 1 species
UACGGAGGGGGCAAGCGUUACUCGGAAUUAUUGGGCGUAAAGGGCGCGUAGGCGGUCUCGUGCGUCGAGGGUGAAAUCCCCGGGCUUAACCCGGGAACUGCCUUCGAUACGGCGGGACUUGAGUCCGGGAGAGGGGAGCAGAAUUCCCAGUGUAGCGGUGAAAUGCGUAGAUAUUGGGAGGAAUACCAGUGGCGAAGGCGGCUCCCUGGACCGGUACUGACGCUGAGGCGCGAAAGCGUGGGUAG